GCGAAAGAUGUGCUUGAAACUCCUUUCUUCUGUUGAUAAGCUUUAAGCUUGAAAUCCCGAAAGUCGAAAACAACAAAUUUGUAUCUCUACCUAAAUGGUUUUAGUAUUUGUGCGUGAUAUUUAAACUGUGCGUUAAAUUGUUCCGUGAGUGUUAAACAGUUUGUUAAGUUGUUCUGUGAGUGUUAAACAGUGUGCAGGCUUAGCUGGUUCAAUUGCUGUUUGAAAGGGGGUUCAAGUCAACUCUCUCUGCUGAUAAUAAGGU